UCCUACGGGGGGCUGCAGUGGGGAAUCUUGCGCAAUGGGCGAAAGCCUGACGCAGCCAUGCCGCGUGAAUGAUGAAGGUCUUAGGAUUGUAAAAUUCUUUCACCGGGGACGAUAAUGACGGUACCCGGAGAAGAAGCCCCGGCUAACUUCGUGCCAGCAGCCGCGGUAAUACGAAGGGGGCUAGCGUUGCUCGGAAUUACUGGGCGUAAAGGGAGCGUAGGCGGACGGUUUAGUCAGAGGUGAAAGCCCAGGGCUCAACCUUGGAAUUGCCUUUGAUACUGGCUGUCUUGAGUUUGGGAGAGGUGUGUGGAACUCCGAGUGUAGAGGUGAAAUUCGUAGAUAUUCGGAAGAACACCAGUGGCGAAGGCGACACACUGGCCCAAUACUGACGCUGAGGCUCGAAAGCGUGGGGAGCAAACAGGAUUAGAUACCCCUGUAGUC
rnacentral:rRNA from 1 species